rnacentral:lncRNA from 1 species
GAACAUUAUUAAGAUGCCACUACACCACCUCAGAAAAAAAUGAAAAGUAAAAAUAAUAGAACAUAAAGGAUGUUUGAAAUGAUUUUAGAAAACUUGAUGCAUAACAUUCAGAAACAUAUACCAAAACAUGAGCAUAUGCACCCUACCACUCACACUCAGAGAAAGAGAGAGAGAUACCUGAAAACCCAAGUUUCUUCCUCAUCUAAGAAACACAUUCAUGUUUGUACAUACUCUAUUGACCUUGGGAGGCCUUAUAUAGGAAAUAUAAGUAUUGCAUCAAAAUCUAAAAUUGAUAUUAAGGUAUACAUAUUUCUGCCAGCUUUCUUUUACAAUGACUCAAG